UACGAGGGUCCUAGCGUUGUUCGGAAUCAUUGGGCGUAAAGCGGGUGUAGGCGGCUUUGCAAGUCAGGUGUGAAAUCCCAGGGCUUAACCCUGGACGUGCAUUUGAAACUGCAUUGCUUGAGUGUUGGAGAGGUUCGUGGAAUUCCUGGUGUAGUGGUGAAAUACGUAGAUAUCAGGAGGAACAUCGGUGGGAANCCGGCGAACUGGCCAAACACUGACGCUCAGCCCG
rnacentral:rRNA from 1 species